rnacentral:rRNA from 1 species
UACAGAGGUCUCGAGCGUUAGGCGGAAUCACUGGGCUUAAAGCGUGUGUAGGUGGAUCGGUAAGUACCUUGUGAAAUCCCACGGCUUAACCGUGGAACUGCUUGGUAUACUGCCAGUCUUGAGCCAGCUAGGGGCUACCGGAACAAAUGGUGGAGCGGUGAAAUGCGUAGAUAUCUGGAGGAACACCGGUGGCGAAGGCGACGUCCUGGACCGGUAUUGACGCUGAGGCGCGAAAGCCAGGGGAGCAAACGGG